AUCGUCUCCUUCCUCGUAGUUCAAAUGAUUUCCUCAAAACAAAGACUUAAAUCAAAAGCAUACAGAUUGAAAAAGUGUAAAUAACUUUUUUUUGGUAUAGGGAAUAAGGCAGUCGAACUAAUAAAUAUAUUUAUACUCCAAAUUUUUCUUUUUUCACGGAGGAGAAAGAAAAUGCAGAGGACCCAAAUUCAAAUCCGGGGCCUAAUCCGAACCCGGAUCCGAGUCAGGCCCCACGGCCUCAAUCUGCAGCUCUGACUUUGGAGAUGGAGAAAGAUAUGGCCGGAGCUUCCACCUCUAACCCUUCUUGGUUUACUCCUAAAAGGCUACUUGCUAUUUUUUGUGUGAUCAACUUGAUAAACUACGUUGAUCGCGGAGCUAUAGCGAGUAACGGUGUCGAUGGGAGUGUUAAGAGUGAAAGGCGUGAGGGGAACAGAGAGCACGAGUUAUGCUCCUUAAUCAAAGCAACAAUGUGUAAAUGCAGAGAAUAGAGGAACGAUCACUUGAUUGAAUAGAAUGUAAAGAAAUAACAAUCCUCCGCAGAGGCAUAUGACCAAGUCAUCCAAUACAAAUGAUCUCUCUAAGAUGAAUUGAACUCCCUAGCUUACAUUUAUUUAUACUCUAAAGUAAAUAACUAAAAUGCA